UACCCAGCUGCACACCACUUCCGGAGCGGAAUCAUUGGCAGUGGCCUCUGUGUCUUCUCCAAACACCCAAUCCAGGAGCUCACCCAGCACAUCUACACCCUCAAUGGCUACCCCUACAUGAUCCAUCAUGGUGACUGGUUCAGUGGGAAGGCUGUGGGGCUGCUGGUGCUCCAUCUAAGUGGCAUGGUGCUCAAUGCCUAUGUGACCCAUGUAAGUGAAGCUGGCAGUGCCUAGGGCUGGGACAUGCAGCCCAGUCCUGGGACAGAGAGAUGGUACUUCUCUAGCUCUCAUACCUGGGGGUGAGGUGUGGGGGCAAGAUCUUAUAAGGAAGCAAUGGGCAAGGCUUAUCCAUUCUAUACCAAACACCAUGCCAAGUGACAGAUACAGGCUUGAUUCAGACAUACCCCUGGGACCCUCAGUCUUAUCUGCUGUGAUCUCAUCUAUAUUGCUCAGCUCCAUGCCGAAUACAAUCGACAGAAGGA
rnacentral:sRNA from 1 species